rnacentral:lncRNA from 1 species
UGCUUGCUAGGUCCGUAAAUUUCAGUAAAAGCCUACAAUAAAAUGUCCGCUCCGAGAUUGAAAUACUAAUCUGUGUUACAAACAGGUGCUGAAAAAUGUACAUUAUCAGAAAAUAAUCAAUAAAUGUGUUUUAAAGUUACACCGGAUCAAAUAAAUCCAAAUCAUGCACUGUUUGUGAACUGUCAUCAAAAUGUCAAUUUCCUACAAUGACAAAAGAAAUUACAUUGUGUGCAUUCCGUCUCUAUACAUGUUGCCUGUUCAAAGUCCCCACCUAAAAAGGAAUAAAAAGACUAUCUUUUCGUUAUUAUAAACCCGUGUCACGUGAUGUGGCGCGCGCGCGCGCUGUACCUAAAAUAAAAGAAAAACUUUCCAAACUAAACAUGAAACUUCUCCGGUAACAAUAAUAUAGACCCCAUACAGAAACAAACAAACAAACAAACAAACAAACAAACAAACAACCCCCCCCCCCCCAAAUUCAAUUAAUUUUAAAGGGGGAAAGACCCCCUACAAUUGCUUUUUUAAAGCAAUUGAUUUAUAUUGUAAAAAACCUUUUUAACCAUUCUGUUCCGUUAAUAAAAAAAAAAAAAAAAUCUCCCCGAGACCCCCUUUUGCCCCCCCCCCUUUUUUUUUAACCCUCCACUUACAACUGAAUGUAGGUUGUGUACUAUCUAUCCUAUCAACGUAAAACGAACGACAACUCCAGUUUUUUUCCAUAUUAUUAGGUCUUUCCACUUUUCUGUGGAAAGCCUAUUGUAUUUGUUCUGAUUAUUAUUAUUAUUAUUAUUAUUUUUUUUUUUUUUCCGCCAAAUUUUGUUCUUGCGAUAAAUGUUUGUUUCGCAAUAUGUCGCUUAGAUUUUUUUCAUAUUGUAUCGUAUAGUUUAUGCGCUUUUAAAUU